GGUGCCAGCAGCCGCGGUAAUUCCAGCUCCAAUAGCGUAUAUUAAACUUGUUGCAGUUAAAAAGCUCGUAGUUGUAUUUUUGCGUUAGCGGUUUGACCAUUUGGUUGGUUAUUUCGUUUUCGCUUUUGGGAAUUUCCCUUUUUACUUUGAGAAAAUUAGAGUGUUUCAAGCAGACUUUUGUCUUGAAUACUUCAGCAUGGAAUAAUAGAGUAGGACUUUGGUUCUAUUUUGUUGGUUAUUGAACCUUAGUAAUGGUUAAUAGGAACGGUUGGGGGCAUUCGUAUUUAACUGUCAGAGGUGAAAUUCUUAGAUUUGUUAAAGACGAACUACUGCGAAAGCAUUUGCCAAGGACGUUUCCAUUAAUCAAGAACGAAAGUUAGGGGAUCGAAGACGAUCAGAUACCGUCGUA
rnacentral:rRNA from 1 species